rnacentral:rRNA from 1 species
UACGUAGGUCGCAAGCGUUGUCCGGAUUUACUGGGCGUAAAGGGCUCGUAGGUGGCCAACUAAGUCGGACGUGAAAUCCCUCAGCUUAACUGGGGAACUGCGUCCGAUACUGGAUGGCUUGAGUUUGGGAGAGGGAUGCGGAAUUCCAGGUGUAGCGGUGAAAUGCGUAGAUAUCUGGAGGAACACCGGUGGCGAAGGCGGCAUCCUGGACCAACACUGACACUGAGGAGCGAAAGCCAGGGGAGCAAACGGG